UACGGGGGGGGCAAGCGUUGUUCGGAAUUACUGGACGUAAAGGGCUCGUAGGCGGCCAACUAAGUCGGAUGUGAAAUCCCCAGGCUUAACCUGGGAACUGCAUCCGAUACUGGAUGGCUUGAAUCCGGGAGAGGGAUGCAGAAUUCCAGGUGUAGCGGUGAAAUGCGUAGAUAUCGGAAGGAACAUCAGUGGCGAAAGCGGCUUCCUGGUCCAGCACCGACGUUCAGGCACGAAAGCGUGGGGAGCAAACAGG
rnacentral:rRNA from 1 species